rnacentral:rRNA from 1 species
GACGAACGCUGGCGGCGUGCUUAACACAUGCAAGUCGAACGGAAAGGCCCCUUUGGGGGUACUCGAGUGGCGGACGGGUGAGUAACACGUGAGUAACCUGCCCUUGACUUCGGGAUAACUUCAGGAAACUGGGGCUAAUACCGGAUAGGAAUCCUUGCUGCAUGGAGGGGGUUGGAAAGCUUCGGCGGUUUUGGGUGGACUCGCGGCCUAUCAGCUUGUUGGUGGGGUAGUGGCUUACCAAGGCUUUGUCGGGUAGCCGGCCUGGGAGGGCGGACGGCCACAUUGGGACUGAGAUAAGGCCCAGACUCCUACGGGGGGCAGCAGUGGGGAAUAUUGCACAAUGGGCGGAAGCCUGAUGCAGCAACGCCGCGGGCGGGAUGACGGCCUUCGGGUUGGAAACCGCUUUUAGCAGGGGCGAAGCUUGUGGUGACGGUACCUGCAGAAGAAGCACCGGCUAACUACGUG